UCAAGCAAUUGGGUGAGACGUGUGAGCGUGAAGGACCACGAAGAAACCGAGGAGUUCCUUAACAAGGAAAGCAGGGGAUAAGGAUGAAGCUACGAUGAGAAGGUAAUCUCUUAGCUAAACAAAAAAGUCAAAAAGUAAAGCCUGACUUGUUUUGGGUAACAUCUCUAAAGAGAAACAAAAUGAUGAAGCACCCCGACAGGUACAUAUACAUAUAUAUUCACUUGCGGUCAUGUAUCUUAUCUUGCAUCUCAUUGUAUCUUUACAUAUGCUUAUGUUACUGCAUUCGCGAUGGGAGAGAGAAUAUGAGAGACAAAGAGCUGAAUCCAUGGAGAGCGAGUUCGAGAGAUUAUGACUGUUGAAGGAGAGAAUGAGUGGAAGAGAGCUGAACUAUAUGACUUCAUCCGAGCUGCAGCAACUUGAAUCUCAAAUGCACUCAUGUGGAUUGACAAGAAUGUCAAUAUUUCUCUCCUUUGUAUCUAUCUAUUUUUAGUUUGACUUCAAUUUUGUUAUUUAUCUGAUCCUCUGUAUAGUUUCCGACUCAGGUCUCCUUGAUUUGAUUAAGUGACAUUGUUUUCCUUCCAAAAUCUUAUUAUAUUUAA